AACGAACGCUGGCGGCAGGCUUAACACAUGCAAGUCGAACGCCCCGCAAGGGGAGUGGCAGACGGGUGAGUAACGCGUGGGAACAUACCCUUUCCUGCGGAAUAGCUCCGGGAAACUGGAAUUAAUACCGCAUACGCCCUACGGGGGAAAGAUUUAUCGGGGAAGGAUUGGCCCGCGUUGGAUUAGCUAGUUGGUGGGGUAAAGGCCUACCAAGGCGACGAUCCAUAGCUGGUCUGAGAGGAUGAUCAGCCACAUUGGGACUGAGACACGGCCCAAACCCCUCCGGGAGGAAGCAGGGGGAAAUAUGGGAAAAGGGGCCCAGGCUGGACCCCGCCAGGCCGGGGGAGUAAUGAAGGCCUUGGGGUGGAAAAGCUCUUUCACCGAUGAAGAUAAUGACGGUAGUGGGAGAAGAAGCCCCGGCUAACUUCGUG
rnacentral:rRNA from 1 species